AAAGGAAUUGACGGGGAGACACACAACUAGUGGAUCAUGUGGUUUAAUUCGAGACGAACCGAAGAACCUCACCAGGGUUUGACAUUAAGCUGCACACUGCGGGAAACCGCGGAAGCUUUCGAAGGUGCUUAACAGCUGCUGCAUGGCUGUCGUCAGUUCGUUCCGUGAGGAGUGCCCUUAAGUGGGACAACGAACGUAACCCUUGCCUUAUGUUAUAUUUGUCAUAAGGAACUGCCUCACCGAUGGUGGGGAGGAAGGAGAGGCAGACGUCAAGUCAGCAUGGCGCUUACACCCUGGGCUACACACAUGAUACAAUGAGACGGACAGAAGGUUGCCAAACCGUAAGGUGGAGCUAAUCCUAUAAACCGUCUCUCAGUGGGGAUAGAGGUCUGCAACUCGACCUCUUGAACAUGGAAUUAGUAGUAAUCGCGGGUCAGCUAUACCGCGGUGAAUACGUUCUUGUCUCUUGCACACACCGCCCGU
rnacentral:rRNA from 1 species